rnacentral:misc_RNA from 1 species
CAACCCUCAGGGUCCCCGUUCCGGCGGGGAACCUGGUGUUGGGGAUCGGCCCGCCCCGUGCGGCGCCGUCCCCCAAAUUCAGUGGCGGUCUCGCUGCAGCCUCCCCUGCGUAGUAGUUACAACCUCGCAUCGGAGCUCAGCGCGGCCACGCCGUAAAACCCCCGACUUUCUGAA